UUAGAGUUUGAUCCUGGCUCAGAGCGAACGCUGGCGGCACGCCUAACACAUGCAAGUCGAGCGAGAAAGUGACUUCGGUCGCGAGUAAAGCGGCGAACGGGUGAGUACAACGUGGAUAAUCUACCCUAAGGUCUGGGACAACCCCGAGAAAUCGGGGCUAAUACCGGAUAAGACCACAGUAUCCAAGGAUACAGCGGUAAAAGAUUUAUCGCCUUUGGAUGAGUCCACGCCCCAUCAGGUAGUUGGUAAGGUAAAGGCUUACCAAGCCUAAGACGGGUAGCCGGCCUUAGCGGGUGAACGGCCACAUGGGGACUGAGACACGGCCCUGACUCCUACGGGAGGCAGCAGUGGGGAAUAUUGGGCAAUGGGCGAAAGCCUGACCCAGCGAUGCCGCGUGAGGGAUGAAGGCCUCCGGGUUGUAAACCUCUGUCAGGAGGGACGAUGGGACUUUGUCUUGACGGUACCUCCAGAGGAAGCCCCGGCUAACUCCGUGCCAGCAGCCGCGGUAAUACGGAGGGGGCAAGCGUUGCUCGGAAUUACUGGGCGUAAAGGGUCCGCAGGCUGUCAGGCAAGUUGGUUGUGAAAU
rnacentral:rRNA from 1 species